UUAGCACUGUGAUCAGGUAUCGACAUAUUCUGUGACGUCUGUCAUUUUGUAAAGGUUGUUGUUUGAAAGACUUGAUUUUCAUGCAUGAAGAUAUAACUUUUAUGCCUUAUCCAAUGACUUUUCAUGUGACUUGGCAGACUAUCAUUUCUGCUUUUGGUUUGUGAAGUGAGGUUUGAUUCAGCAUUUGAUGUCUGUCAAGCUGAAGUGGGUGUUCCUUGGGAUGCCCAGUGCUCUUGCCUUUCCAAAUAUCUUGUAUUUUGUUUUUGUUCAUCUUUAGACGACAAAUCAUCCUUGAGGUAGUCUUUUCUAUUACGUUUGUGCAAUUGUUUUAUAGAAGCAGCUGAUAUCUUGAUUUGACAUAGAAGCAUCUGGCGUGGGGCUUGCAAGCUCAUAGACUUGUAGUAGUGAUUGAGAUGUAUCUGGUUGAUCAAGCUAUUGGAUUUGUGGAUAAAUGUGAAUUGGAUUGGGACAUUGUGGAGAAAGGUUGGUUGCACAUGUAGAUAGAUGGGUGGAUGUGAUGUGGCAGUCAAAAAAAAAAAAGGAAAAAAGAACUGUGUGGUGAGAUGAUGUGAUUGUUAUAUUUGAGCUGUUUGGUGGCUAUUAUUCAGUUGUCCUUCAUGCCCAAUUCUUCAAAGAAAACCUUGACCCUCAUUCUUAAUACAACUACUGUGGCAGUCUCAUGUCAUAUGCUUUUUUAGGUUUAUACCAUUGUAUAUGUAAUUCUUUAGCCUUUGCUUGGUACAUAUGAUUCUUAAUCCAGAGGUCACAAUAUGAGACUCAUUCCUUGCUUUUGCUUUCAUUUGAAUCAUAACAUUUAUAUUUCCUUGGAACUAAACUCUACUGUGGCAUUCCUUAAUUUUAAUUCUUCAUAUAACUAAUAUUUGCUUCAAUAAUUACAGCAUGCUUUGACUUUGUUGACCUGUAGGUAACCAAGCAGCAGAUCUGGAGAAAGAAAAGGUUAUCAAUGAUUGCUUCAUUAUUGUCUUUUUAAAUCAUGCAUUUGUGGCUCUUAACAUGUCAUGCACAUAGAUAGCUCUUUAUAACAGGGUAUUUAAUUUUGAUAGCAAUUGUUAAGACUUUUUUGUUUUAGGAGUACAAUUGCAAAGGCUUCACAUCAACUAAUUAAUUGGUAUUUUUGGUGCUCUCUCUCCCUCUAUCUUUCUAAUUUUUGAAGAUUCACAUCAAUUAACUAUUGUUGGUACUCUCUCACACACAGACACACAUGCACUAAAUAAUGCGACUGACUUUGAUUUGAAUCAUAUAGUUGGAUCUGAAUUCCUCUUUCAUUUUUCCUGUAGGACUACUACAUCUGUGUAAUUGGAUAAAAUGGAGACACGUGAUCUUGUACUUGAGUUUCAUGGAGCACAAAGAAGGGAACUCUGUAAAUUUCUCGAGGAGCUUCGUACUGUUUAACCGCAGUGGAAGAUGGGACGAUCUAAUUGCUUGUUGCUUGUUGCUUGUUAGGGACCAGCAGCAUAAAUUUCAGAGAUGACCUUCUAUUGGAUGCAAAUGGUACCACCCACCUGCUCGAGGUAUGACAAAACCAGUCUACAAUUGCACCAGUAUGCAGACUCUGGUGCAGGUAUCAGGAAUCAUGUAGUAAAACUAAAGGCAGAAAGAGCCGACGUUGGAUCCCAGCACAUGUUUCAUGCUUCCUCGUUUUAGGGCUGCACGACGUUCCCGGACCACCCAGAGGUGACGAGGAUAACGAAAAGAAGACCGGGAGGCGCUACAAGACAAAGGGCCGGGCUGAGCUUUAAGCGAAACCCGAUGCGGGCACCCACUGGUGCACCCAUCACUCGCGCACCGAAGCCCUCCAAAUCAUUUCCCGUCGCUUAUUUAAACGCGGCUGAGCCAGGAAACGGGAAAGGGGGUCACCCGGUGCACCACCCACGAGGCGAGCGUGUCAUCUGAUCUUUUUCUUUUGCAUACAGCCCGGAGAAAGAAAAAGCAAUGUCUUUAUCUGCUUUGUUAUAUUCCGGCUUAUUCUGGCGUGGUAUUAUGAAAUAGGCGCCUCAGGUUUUACA